rfam:Actinobacteria bacterium OK006 ctg158, whole genome shotgun sequence.
GAGAGCGGUAUGCCGGGAAACUGGCCCGUACCGUUCGGGAAGGAGCUGUCGGAAAAGGGCCCGAGCCACGGGCACCUCGUCGGCGGCCCACUUCAC